rnacentral:misc_RNA from 1 species
GAUGAAGAACGUAGCGAAAUGCGAUAAGUAAUGUGAAUUGCAGAAUUCAGUGAAUCAUCGAAUCUUUGAACGCACAUUGCGCCCGCCAGUAUUCUGGCGGGCAUGCCUGUUCGAGCGUCAUUACAACCCUCAGGCCCCCGGGCCUGGCGUUGGGGAUCGGCGGAAGCCCCCUGUGGGCACACGCCGUCCCUCAAAUACAGUGGCGGUCCCGCCGCAGCUUCCAUUGCGUAGUAGCUAACACCUCGCAACUGGAGAGCGGCGCGGCCAUGCCGUAAAACACCCAACUUCUGAAUGUUGACCUCGAAUCAGGUAGGAAUACCCGCUGAACUUAAGCAUAUCAAUAAGCAGAGGA